GUGGCAAAAUAGACCAGGUCCUGCUCGAACAAGCUGUGAAAGCAGAAAACAACGUGCAACUGCUGAUAGGAUGCUGGUUUAUAGUAGCAGUGACAACAACAGUGAGUUAGCAUGGUGCUAAGAACUGUCGACGCUCUUGUGCGAGGACAGCUGCCACACCUGCAGUGCAGCGGGAACAACGCUGGAGCUGCGUCCCACAUCCCUUUUCAGAGCUGUGUGGCCGAUGGAGAAGGGGACAGAGAAAUAAAUCAUAGUAAAAGCAGAGCGUUGGCAGGAAAGAAACUGGGCGGUGUGGAGAAGUGUCAGGGAAAAGAUCACCACGGGAUCUUGAUAUUAUUUGGCUCUGUGAUUCUGAAACUGGAUCGGAAAAGGUUCGUUCAAGGUGUUCGGUUUAGUGAAGUUUAACACUGUUUUUCAAAAGCGACUGAAGUACAGAUAUAUAUAGUUUGUGAGAAAAACAACUACUGAUGUCUGGGUUCAGUUUUCUCUUUCUUUGCCUCCUUUUUGUCUUUCCAUCUUGUUGCUCUUGUGUUGUUCCAUCCGUCUGAGCACGGCGGCAUUUGAAUUGUUUCCUCUUUGUUGGUUUCAUUUCAAAUAAAUGAU